rnacentral:rRNA from 1 species
UAGAGUUUGAUCCUGGCUCAGGAUGAACGCUGGCGGCGUGCCUAACACAUGCAAGUCGAGCGAACCCUUCGGGGUGAGCGGCGGACGGGUGAGUAACGCGUGGGUAACCUGCCCUAUACACACGGAUAACGUACCGAAAGGUACGCUAAUACGAGAUGACAUAAGAGAUUCGCAUGGAUUUCUUAUCAAAGCUCCGGCGGUAUAGGAUGGACCCGCGUCUGAUUAGCUAGUUGGUAAGGUAACGGCUUACCAAGGCGACGAUCAGUAGCCGACCUGAGAGGGUGAUCGGCCACAUUGGAACUGAGACACGGUCCAGACUCCUACGGGAGGCAGCAGUGGGGAAUCUUGCGCAAUGGCCGAAAGGCUGACGCAGCGACGCCGCGUGUGGGAUGAAGCAUUUCGGUGUGUAAACCACUGUUGCCCGGGACGAACAGCUUCUUUCGAGGAGCCUGACGGUACCGGGUGAGGAAGCACCGGCUAACUCCGUGCCAGCAGCCGCGGUAGCCCAAUCGC